CUACGGGAGGCAGCAGUGGGGAAUUUUGGACAAUGGGCGCAAGCCUGAUCCAGCCAUGCCGCGUGAGUGAAGAAGGCCUUCGGGUUGUAAAGCUCUUUCAGACGGAAAGAAAACUUCUGGGUUAAUACCCUGGGAGGAUGACGGUACCGUAAGAAGAAGCACCGGCUAACUACGUGCCAGCAGCCGCGGUAAUACGUAGGGUGCGAGCGUUAAUCGGAAUUACUGGGCGUAAAGCGUGCGCAGGCGGUGAUGUAAGACAGAUGUGAAAUCCCCGGGCUCAACCUGGGAACUGCGUUUGUGACUGCAUCACUCGAGUACGGCAGAGGGAGGUGGAAUUCCGCGUGUAGCAGUGAAAUGCGUAGAGAUGCGGAGGAACACCGAUGGCGAAGGCAGCCUCCUGGGCCAGUACUGACGCUCAUGCACGAAAGCGUGGGGAGCAAACAGGAUUAGAUACCCUGGUAGUCCACGCCCUAAACGAUGUCAACUAGUUGUUCGGUGAGGAGACUCAUUGAGUAACGCAGCUAACGCGUGAAGUUGACCGCCUGGGGAGUAUCGGCCGCAAGGUUAAAACUCAAAGGAAUUGACGG
rnacentral:rRNA from 1 species